AGGAUAUCUAUUAUAAGGAAAAUGUCAAAAAAGAAAGAGUUAGCAUAUCAUAAGCAAAACCUAAACAUAUAGUACAGCCACGGUGACAGGUAUUACUAUAUUCUUGGAAAGUAUAUUUAUUUAGCUUGUCUGAGAUCUCCCCCCACCCUCAUUUGUAAAAUGGUAACUAGGUUAUCCUCUUCAAGAAUACAGAGAUUUUAAAAAAAAGUCAAUACGUGCAAAAACCAUUAUAACAUUGCCUGUUAAUUGUGUUCAAUAAAUAACAUGAGCCAGUUUUUCUCCCUGGGGUAAUUUGUAACAGCUCAAAAAACAGAAAUGAAAGUAAAUUUUCUCCCGAGCAGUCACACUGUCACAUUCAGCUCUCUGGAUUCUCUUUGUAGGUUAUUUAGAAAAUUGUUACCUCAAAAAUGACCUAGGGGUCCUUAGAAUAAUAACACACAGAAGAAUAGCCUCAUUUUUCUGUUGGGCCCAGGAAACCAUGCCGAUUACCGACCGAGCUCUCAAUGGAAAAAUGCAGUCGGCGUGAACCACGCACGAACACAGCAGAGAAAGAAGAAAACACACACCACGAGGAACCCUAAUAGGACAAUACAUUAUAAGCCUCAUGGUACAUCCACUUGGUGUGCUGGGAGAGUCAGGAUGAGGACCUGAGAAGAACAGCAGCUUGAACCUGACUUCAUUUAACAGCCCACUGCCCUCUUGCCAAGAACCCAUCACAGACCUUCCCAGAAGAGAGGGAUGAGCCUCACCUAUGAAUAAGUCCUCAGAAACUCAAAUUUGAUUCUAAUGGAUUGUUUUCUCAGAAAGACUGAGCAUGUCCCCCCACAUCUCUGUCAUUUCCCACAGUAGUAACCUCUGCAGAUGCCACAUAGAAAACAAAACAAAACAAAAAAACAUGAGGUUGGUGGGCAGAUAGGCAGGGUAUAAACAAACAGCCUUGUAACCCAGAAGCUGUGUGAUAUACAGUAAACUUCACAACACUGAAAAGAUGUCCUAUCUGUUAAAAUGGGGUAAUAACAACUACCCGAAUGUUUAGGAAUAGAACUUCAAUAAAUGAUACAUUUUAUAGUACAGCAGACCAUCCUGUAAAGGUUUCAUCCUUCACUGUGGUGAUAAAUAUCCCAAACCACAUUGAAAAGCAUUGCAUCUACAUUUAUCUACACUGUAACUGUACUGUAAAUCAUGGGGGAGGGGAGAAUCAUAAAAACACCACCUGUCACCGUGUCAUUAAAGCAAGUUGGAAGUGAUACUUACAGAAACACAGCAAGAGCACCCCCAGUCACACAGUUCAAUCUCUUAGCAAGCGUUUUCUUUCUAGCCCAGUGGUUCUCAGUUUGGAAUUUUUGGCACUGCCUAGAGAUAGUUUUGUUGUUAAAACUGAGAAAAGAGCCGGGCGUGGUGGCACACGCCUUUAAUCCCAGCACUCAGGAGGCAGAGGCAGG
rnacentral:lncRNA from 1 species